rnacentral:rRNA from 1 species
UACGGAGGAUGCAAGCGUUAUCCGGAAUGAUUGGGAGUAAAGCGUCCGCAGGUGGUUGUGUGUGUCUAUUGUCAAAGCAUCAUGCUUAACAUGAUAAAGGCAGUAGAAACUACAAGACUAGAGUGCGUUCGGGGCAGAGGGAAUUCCUGGUGUAGCGGUGAAAUGCGUAGAGAUCAGGAAGAACACCGGUGGCGUAAGUGCUCUGCUAGGCCGCAAUUGACUCUGAGGGACGAAAGCUAGGGGAGCGAAUGGG